GCAGGACAGGAGUGUGCAGCUGCAGUUCUAUAAAUACGAUGUGUCACUUUUAUCACUGGGGCCAGAUGCAUUGUGGUGUUACAACAAUGAGUAAAAAACAGAUAGAGCCUAGAAUGUUUACCAUAAAGGAACUCAAAUCACUAAAUGGGCCGGGAAAGAAUAAGAAUACCAACGAAGAAGAAAGUGGCAGGAAGAAGAAAUUAAUGGAAUGCCCUGAGUGAAGGAACGUGCGUCGCCCCAAUCGCCCUUAUGGACAAGCCGCCCCUGAUGACAAUGCUAUGUUCUCUCCCCCGUCCUCUUUCUUUCUUCCCCUAUCUCUGACACUCAACACUCAUGUUUGAGCUAGAUAAUCUUCAUAUGAGGCACUGUUUAGGCCAUAUAUCUAGAAAGCUCGCACAAACACUACUUUUUCUUGUCCAAGCGCUAACUGCUGCUUGUCGAUUUUAUAUUUUACACUCAUUUUUUUUAUUGAAUUCAUGUUUCAAUCUCUACCCUAACACAUGUUUCAAAUGUGAAGGAAUAAUAAUUCAUCAUGUACCUCACAUGUUUUUUUUCAUCGUCAUUUAGAUUUCCCUUAUCUGACGCUUUCAAACAAUAAGGCAGUAAAUAUUUUAGAACAAGUAGUCCUACUGUGUGAAGUUAAAUGCUUGAUUCUCAUAGUCCUUUUUAUAAAAGUGCUGUGUAGAAGUUCACAUAUUUUGUUUAGGACAAAUUUAAAUCAUCCACACAAGGACAGUUGUUUUUUGGUAUGUUACUUUCUGUCCUGCUAUUUGACCUCCUCCACUUGUGAAUGUGUAAGUCUCCAUCAGCUUGGCUUCAUGAGGACCACCUUUCAUCUGUUUUACUCUCAUCACUGGACACUUGUAGCUGAGUAGAAAAUAUGCAUUUUACUCACAUGAAAUAGAUAUCUUCACAUGGACUAACUGCAUUUGAUUAUAAGACAGCUGUGGGAAAGAGGGAGAGAGAUGAAUAUGGAAUCAUUUUUGAAUGAAACAAAAUAAAACAGUAAACAAGUGUUACUUGUUCAAUAUGUGUUAUUAAACCUAGUUAAUGCCUUAAAAGAGGACAAAUUGAUGUUGGAAGAGAUAAAACUGGGACUCAUAAAAUAGGGAAACAACGGAUUGACAGGUUGUGACUGUAUAAACAUAAGUGACUUUAUGGGGAAGGGAGAAAAAAAAUGUAAG
ensembl:lncRNA